UGGGGAAUCUUGCACAAUGGGGGCAACCCUGAUGCAGCGACGCCGCGUGAGCGAUGAAGCCCUUCGGGGUGUAAAGCUCUUUCGACCGGAACGAUAAUGACGGUACCGGGAGAAGAAGCUGCGGCUAACUACGUGCCAGCAGCCGCGGUAAUACGUAGGCAGCAAGCGUUGUUCGGAGUUACUGGGCGUAAAGAGUGCGUAGGCGGUGGCCUAAGUUCGGUGUGAAAUCUCCCGGCUUAACUGGGAGGGUGCGCCGGAAACUGGGCUGCUGGAGUGUGGGAAAGGCAAGCGGAAUUCCUGGUGUAGCGGUGAAAUGCGUAGAUAUCAGGAGGAACACCGGCGGUGUAGACGGCUUGCUAGACCAUAACUGACGCUGAGGCACGAAAGCGUGGGUAGCAAACAGGAUUAGAUACCCCGGUAGUCC
rnacentral:rRNA from 1 species